GAGUGCAGGUGACUUCAGAGGACAGAGGAAGGCAGUGGACAUGUGAGUGCAGGUGCCUUCAGAGGACAGAGGACGGCAGUGGACAUGUGAGUGCAGGUGACUUCAGAGGACAGAGGACAGCAGUGGACAUGUGAGUGCAGGUGACUUCAGAGGACAGAGGAAGGCAGUGGACAUGUGAGUGCAGGUGACUUCAGAGGACAGAGGGGGGCAAUGGACAUGUGAGUGUAGGUGCCUUCAGAGGACAGAGGACAGCAGUGGGCAUGUGAGUGCAGGUGCAUUCAGAGGACAGAGGACAGCAGUGGGCUUGAGAGUGCAGGUGACUUCAGAGGACAGAGGACAGCAGUGGACAUGUGAAUGCAGGUGACUUCAGAGGACAGAGGACAGCAGUGGACAUGUGAGUGCAGGUACCUUCAGAGGACAGAGGAAGGCAGUGGACAUGUGAGUGCAGGUGACUUCAGAGGACAGAGGAAGGCAGUGGACAUGUGAGUUCAGGAGCCUUCAGAGGGCAGAGGAAGGCAGUGGACAUGUGAGUGCAGGUGACUGCAGAGGACAGAGGACAGCAGUGGACAUGUGAGUUCAGGAGCCUUCAGAGGGCAGAGGAAGGCAGUGGACAUGUGAGUGCAGGUACCUUCAGAGGACAGAGGAUGGCAGUGGACAUGUGAGUGCAGGAGCUUGCAGGAGACAGAGGAAGGCAGUGGACAUGUGAGUGCAGGAGCCUUCAGAGGACAGAGGACAGCAGUGGGCAUGUGAGUGCAGGUGACUUCAGAGGACAGAGGACAGUAGUGGGCAUGUGAGUGCAGGUGCCUUCAGAGGACAGAGGACAGCAGUGGACAUGUGAGUGCAGGUGACUUCAGAGGACAGAGGAAGGCAGUGGACAUGUGAGUGCAGGUGACUUCAGAGGACAGAGGAAGGCAGUGGACAUGUGAGUGCAGGUGACUUCAGAGGACAGAGGACAGCAGUGGACAUGUGAGUGCAGGUGACUUCAGAGGGCAGAGGAAGGCAGUGGACAUGUGAGUGCAGGUGACUUCAGAGGACAGAGGAAGGCAGUGGACAUGUGAGUGCAGGUGCCUUCAGAGGACAGAGGACGGCAGUGGACAUGUGAGUGCAGGUGACUUCGGAGGACAGAGGACAGCAGUGGACAUGUGAGUGCAGGUGACUGCAGAGGACAGAGGAAGGCAGUGGACAUGUGAGUGCAGGUGCCUUCAGAGGACAGAGGACAGCAGUGGACAUGUGAGUGCAGGUGACUUCAGAGGACAGAGGACAGCAGUGGACAUGUGAGUGCAGGUGCCUUCAGAGAACAGAGGACAGCAGUGGACAUGUGAGUGCAGGUGACUUCAGAGGACAGAGGGGGGCAAUGGACAUGUGAGUGUAGGUGCCUUCAGAGGACAGAGGACAGCAGUGGGCAUGUGAGUGCAGGUGCAUUCAGAGGACAGAGGACAGCAGUGGGCUUGAGAGUGCAGGUGACUUCAGAGGACAGAGGACAGCAGUGGACAUGUGAGUGCAGGUACCUUCAGAGGACAGAGGAAGGCAGUGGACAUGUGAGUGCAGGUGACUGCAGAGGACAGAGGACAGCAGUGGGCAUGUGAAUGCAGGUGCCUUCAGAGGACAGAGGACAGCAGUGGACAUGUGAAUGCAGGUGACUUCAGAGGACAGAGGACAGCAGUGGACAUGUGAGUGCAAGUGACUUCAGAGGACAGAGGACAGCAGUGGACAUGUGAGUGCAGGUGACUUCAGAGGACAGAGGACAGCAGUGGACAUGUGAGUGCAGGUGACUUCAGAGGACAGAGGAAGGCAGUGGACAUGUGAGUGCAGGAGCCUGCAGGAGACAGAGGACAGCAGUGGACAUGUGAGUGCAGGUGCCUUCAGAGGGCAGAGGAAGGCAGUGGACAUGUGAGUGCAGGUGACUGCAGAGGACAGAGGAAGGCAGUGGACAUAUGAGUGCAGGUGACUUCAGAGGACAGAGGACAGCAGUGGACAUGUGAGUGCAGGUGACUUCAGAGGACAGAGGAAGGCAGUGGACAUGUGAGUGCAGGUGCCUUCAGAGGACAGAGGACGGCAGUGGACAUGUGAGUGCAGGUGACUUCAGAGGACAGAGGACAGCAGUGGACAUGUGAGUGCAGGUGACUUCAGAGGACAGAGGAAGGCAGUGGACACGUGAGUGCAGGUGACUUCAGAGGACAGAGGGGGGCAAUGGACAUGUGAGUGUAGGUGCCUUCAGAGGACAGAGGACAGCAGUGGGCAUGUGAGUGCAGGUGCAUUCAGAGGACAGAGGACAGCAGUGGGCUUGAGAGUGCAGGUGACUUCAGAGGACAGAGGACAGCAGUGGACAUGUGAAUGCAGGUGACUUCAGAGGACAGAGGACAGCAGUGGACAUGUGAGUGCAGGUACCUUCAGAGGACAGAGGAAGGCAGUGGACAUGUGAGUGCAGGUGACUUCAGAGGACAGAGGAAGGCAGUGGACAUGUGAGUGCAGGUGACUUCAGAGGACAGAGGAAGGCAGUGGACAUGUGAGUGCAGGUGCCUUCAGAGGACAGAGGACAGCAGUGGGCAUGUGAGUUCAGGAGCCUUCAGAGGGCAGAGGAAGGCAGUGGACAUGUGAGUGCAGGUGACUGCAGAGGACAGAGGACAGCAGUGGACAUGUGAGUUCAGGAGCCUUCAGAGGGCAGAGGAAGGCAGUGGACAUGUGAGUGCAGGUACCUUCAGAGGACAGAG